AUGGGAUCAGGGGCUCUCAACUGGCUGGGCUGGUGGACAAGAGGUGUAACCACAGGUGGGGGGAGCCACGGCGAGAAGGUGGAGCAGCAUCCUUCCACCGUGAGUGUCCAGGAGGGAGACAGCACUGUCAUCAACUGCACUUACACAGACAGUGCCUCAGUCUACUUCCCUUGGUAUAAACAAGAGCCUGGGAAGCAGCCUCAGUUCAUCAUUGACAUCCGUCCAAAUGUGGAAAGGAAGCAGAGCCAGAGACUCACUCUUCUAUUGAAUAAGAAAGUCAAACACCUUUCCUUGCACAUCACAGCCACUCAGCCUGGAGAUUCAGCCAUCUACUUCUGUGCAGCAGAUACACACUGCUCCCCAGGCACCUGCAGCCUGUCUUCAAACCUGCCACCAGGGCUGGGGUGA